CAAUAGCGUAUAUUAAAGUUGUUGCAGUUAAAAAGCUCGUAGUUGAAUUUUUGCUUGCCGCCGAUGUCGGAACUUCCGUGCGUUCGGCGGCGUGCAUCCUUGGGUGGAACCUGUGUGGCAUUAGGUUGUCGUGCAGGGGAUGCUCAUCGUUUACUGUGAAAAAAUUAGAGUGUUCAAAGCAGGCUUACGCCGUUGAAUAUAUUAGCAUGGAAUAAUAAGAUAGGACCUUGGUACUAUUUUGUUGGUUUGCGCACCGAGGUAAUGAUUAACAGGGACAGUUGGGGGUAUUCGUAUUCCAUUGUCAGAGGUGAAAUUCUUGGAUUUCUGGAAGACGAACUACUGCGAAAGCAUUUACCAAGGAUGUUUUCAUUAA
rnacentral:rRNA from 1 species